GCGCCAUCAUGUGUUUCGCGCGCCGUACGAUCUCGUCAGAUCAUCUCGAUGCUCAAGAUCAUCGGGCGAUCGCAAAGUGACGUGCGAUUUCACGAUACGACUCCGAGUGAUUUUAAAAAAGAAAGACAUCUUAUCUUGAGGUCUUUUAGGGCGUCGAAUCUUAAUCUACAUGUUGCUUUUGUGUUGUACAUUGUUUGAAGUGACAAAGUCCAUCGCUUGAUCUGAUCUUGAAAGACGAUCUAAAGAGCAGGUCUGCGGUACGAUGUCUUCUUUUAGAAAUGCACCUCUUUGUUUGAUCUUGGUGACUGUUGAAAUUGCAUUGCAACUUGCUCUGACUUCCGACACGUCUGGUUAUCACUUAUCAGUUGGUUCUCACAGAACUGACGCGGGAUCGCUGAACGGCAAGUUUUAUUUGGAGAACUCACAAGUGGUAAGAAAGUUAUAUUAGUACAUCACAAGUCCGCUAAAAGUUAAUCACAAGUCUUCAAAAGCGACAGGGAUGAACAGUUACUUGUCAUGGACUUGUGAUGGACCUGUGAUGGACUUGUGAUGGACCUGUGAUGAACUUG